UAGAGUUUGAUCAUGGCUCAGAAUCAACGCUGGCGGCGUGCCUCAGACAUGCAAGUCGAACGAUUAAAGCCCUCUUCGGAGGGUGUAUAAAGUGGCGCACGGGUGAGUAACACGUAAGUAAUCUACCCUCGGGUGGGGAAUAACAACCGGAAACGGUUGCUAAUACCGCAUAAUGCAGCGGCUCCUUAUGGAGACAGUUGUUAAAGGAUUUAUUCGCCUGAGGAGGAGCUUGCGGCAAAUUAGCUAGUUGGUAAGGUAAUGGCUUACCAAGGCUACGAUCUGUAGCCGGUCUAAGAGGACGGUCGGUCACACUGACACUGAAUAACGGGUCAGACUCCUACGGGAGGCAGCAGUCGGGAAUUUUGGGCAAUGGGCGAAAGCCUGACCCAGCAACGCCGCGUGAAGGAUGAAGUAUUUCGGUAUGUAAACUUCGAAAGAAUAGGAAGAAUUAAUGACGGUACUAUUUAUAAGGUCCGGCUAACUACGUGCCAGCAGCCGCGGUAAUACGUAGGGACCAAGCGUUGUUCGGAUUUACUGGGCGUAAAGGGCGCGUAGGCGGCAUGACAAGUCACUUGUGAAAUCUCUGGGCUUAACUCAGAACGGCCAAGUGAUACUGUCGCGCUAGAGUGCAGAAAGGGCAAUCGGAAUUCUUGGUGUAGCGGUGGAAUGCGUAGAUAUCAAGAGGAACACCUGAGGCGAAGGCGGGUUGCUAG
rnacentral:rRNA from 1 species